UCCUCCCUUUCGGAUGGAAGAUGACAGAACUCUAACUCAUCCCCCCCCUCUUCAAUGGUAUCAGUCGUGGUGCUGACAGAGGCCAAAGGCCAUGGUGAAAUAUAAGAGAUGUCCUGGACAACAGAGACAGUGGGACUCCCUGUCACAGUGGAAUUUCCACAGUGGUCAGUCAUUUCACACAAAACAAGGACACCCUGGAUCCUCACCUGCCAGGGAUUACUGCUGCCAGCUUUCCUUUUCCCUUUCUUUAGCCAACCUGGUGGCUGGUGACUCAUAUAGCUUGUUCACAGGGUCAGAGGGACUCUCUCGAGGCCAGCUGGAGUCAAUGCUUAAAAGGAGGAGAUGAAAAGGAAUGAGGAGAAAGAGAGACAGAUAACGCCCUCUUUUCUUAAAGAAGGAGCAGAACACAAGGUCUGGCUCUGUUGAAGAUGGGCUUCCAAAGUGUACAAUGACGUGCAGAGAGAACAAUGUUCGUCUCACCAACAGAAGUUGACCUUGGAGGUUUCAUGACAAGCACUCACAGCAAUGUUCUUCUCAACAAAGCAAACUGGCUUUGGAAGUUUAUGGACUUUUUUGGUCAGGAAGGUGACACACCAGACAGCCACAGUGGGUAUUAUUAAACAGGACAUUGAUAAACGGAGAAAAAACAUCACUGAUGAUUCACCCAAGUUAUUUUUGCAUCGCAAAAAGGCAGCUCCUCAUUUUUUCUCAUUGACUGUUAUGUGCUGCAACUGUUUCAGCUUCCAGAGCAGAAUGUGACAUUUUUCUUUUUCCAGAAAGAUCCAGAGCAGACAGCAGAAAUGACAACCAAAGCUUGUUCUCACUCAGAGAUUGGCAUGGCCCGUGUAAGUUUUGUGCCAUGAGUCACUGGAAAACUGGGAUCCGAAUGAUUGGCCCUCCUGCUUCAACUCCGGGCAUCCCUCAGGGGAUGCUAGUUUCACACAGAGCCUCAGUGACCUUCAUCCUGGCCUGGGUCACCUCUCUUUUCAACCACGGCUGGAGAGCGGAGUUCAAAUCAAGACAGGGCUUUUUGCAGUUUGCCUGCUCAGUGGAGCAGUUGCUCAUCACUUGGCUCCUAUAAUGAUAACAGGCAACAGAUAGCAGCUGUCUCAGGAGUGACCCGGGGUCUGACCCGGCUCCGAUCCGAUCCAGCGGCUCUGAGUCUGUCACAGAGUCAGCAGCAAACUGGGUUACCAGUACCCAGAGACCAUUUAUAGUUUAUAAAACAAAAGAGAGAGGGGAAAAAGCAACCAUUCAGAGGAGAUGAAAAUCUGAAGCUGAAAAUCUCUGAGCUGAAUCCCUGCUUAGCUCUGUGGAGACAGGGUGGAGGAGAUGUUGUUAGGGAACGGAGCUUGGCUCCUGCACCUGCACGCACAUACGCACAUAAUGACGAGCUGGUUCCUUGGAAACCCACCACAAGAACAAAGGUCAGGUUCAGUUUCCUCUGAACAGAUCAAUAUGUGUGCUACAAAUCAAGGCUUGUUCUCUGUGUCCAGUUCCAUGUCUUAUGUCCAACACUGUCCUAUUUUAUGUCUUUACAUCAGAUCCAGACAAUUUCAGAUUAUUUGACAUCAUGACGCUACCAAAA